rfam:Triticum aestivum genome assembly, contig: Triticum_aestivum_CS42_TGACv1_scaffold_513413_6BS
CAAGUACUCCCUCCGUCCGGAAUUACUUGUCAUCAAAAUGGAUGUGUCUAGAACUAAAAUACAUCUAGAUACAUCCAUUUCAAUGACAAGUAUUUCGGACGGAGGGAGUACAAG